rnacentral:rRNA from 1 species
AAAUUGAAGAGUUUGAUCAUGGCUCAGAUUGAACGCUGGCGGCAGGCCUAACACAUGCAAGUCGAACGGUAACAGGAAGCAGCUUGCUGCUUCGCUGACGAGUGGCGGACGGGUGAGUAAUGUCUGGGAAACUGCCUGAUGGAGGGGGAUAACUACUGGAAACGGUAGCUAAUACCGCAUAAUGUCGCAAGACCAAAGAGGGGGACCUUCGGGCCUCUUGCCAUCGGAUGUGCCCAGAUGGGAUUAGCUUGUUGGUGGGGUAACGGCUCACCAAGGCGACGAUCCCUAGCUGGUCUGAGAGGAUGACCAGCCACACUGGAACUGAGACACGGUCCAGACUCCUACGGGAGGCAGCAGUGGGGAAUAUUGCACAAU